rnacentral:rRNA from 1 species
UACAGAGGUCCCGAGCGUUGUUCGGAUUCACUGGGCGUAAAGGGUGCGUAGGUGGUGAGGUAAGUCGGAUGUGAAAUCUCCGGGCUCAACCCGGAAAUGGCAUUGGAAACUACCUUGCUGGAGGGUUUGAGGGGGGAUUGGAAUACUUGGUGUAGCAGUGAAAUGCGUAGAUAUCAAGUGGAACACCAGUGGCGAAGGCGAAUCCCUGGAAAAUACCUGACACUGAGGCACGAAAGCUAGGGGAG